GUCUUUUUGAGUUAUUUUUAAAGUCUGACCUGCCCACUGAAUUUUUAAAUGGCCGCAGUAUUCUAACUGUGCAAAGGUAGCAUAAUCAUUAGUCUUUUAAUUGAAGGCUGGUAUGAACGGUUGGACGAGGUAUUAACUGUUUCAUAUAUAUUUAUAUUAGAAUUUUAUAUUUUAGUUAAAAAGCUAAAAUAAUAUUAAAAGACGAGAAGACCCUAUAAAUCUUUAUAUUUUAUAUAUUUUAAAUUUUUUGGAUUUGUUUUAUUUUUACUAUAUAAAAUAUUUUGUUGGGGUGAUGUUAAAAUUUAAUGAACUUUUAAUUUUUAAAAAUCAUUAAUUUAUGUAUUAUUGAUCCAUUAGUAGUGAUUAUAAGAUUAAGUUACUUUAGGGAUAACAGCGUAAUUUUUUUGGAGAGUUCAUAUCGAUAAAAAAGUUUGCGACCUCGAUGUUGGAUUAAGAGAUAAUUUUAGGUGUAGCCGCUUAAAUUUUAAGUCUGUUCGACUUUUAAAUUCUU
rnacentral:rRNA from 1 species